UACAGAGGUCUCAAGCGUUGUUCGGAUUCAUUGGGCGUAAAGGGUGCGUAGGCGGCGCGGUAAGUCGGGUGUGAAAUCUCGGGGCUUAACUCCGAAACUGCAUUCGAUACUGCCGUGCUUGAGGACUGGAGAGGAGACUGGAAUUUACGGUGUAGCGGUGAAAUGCGUAGAUAUCGGGAGGAACACCUGAGGCGAAGGCGGGCUACUGGGCCGAUACUGACGCUGAGGCGCGAAAGCCAGGGGAGCAAACGGG
rnacentral:rRNA from 1 species